GAGUCGACUCUCUUAAGGGAGUUUUGGGAAUCAAAGAGAACCGCACACGUGGCAGACUGUGAUUGGUUGCUUGAAUUUAACAAAAGAAAAAAAAAAACUUGUGUUUUCUUAUCAAAACACCGUAGACGCCAACACUCCUCCGAUCCCUUUGAUUCUUCUUAAUCCGAUUCCUCCAGGUCCGUUGAUUUCUUAUCAACUUCUCUCGUUGAGGUUAACAACAGCUGCAGCAGCAUCCGCUAGCCAAACAACAACGUCGUGUUUGUUUAUAAAACGACCUUUUGUUCUUCCUACGCGUAAAGUCUGUGGCUUUAACGGUCUCUGUUUCAACAAGAGAGCUUCCUUAGUGGUGAAAUCGAAGAGACCCUUUUCUUGUAAUGCCAUUUACAAUCCUCAGGUUCAGACAAUUCAAGAAUACCAAUCUGAAACCUUUGACUACAUAGUUUUCUUUCAAGAUGGCUCCGGAAAGAAGUAUCUCCAUGGCAUGAUAUACCAUUGCAUUUAGGAGAUGGUGUUUUUCAUUUUAUAGUGGAAAUUCCUAAGGAGUCAAGAGCUAAAAUGGAGGUUGCUACUGAUGAAGCUUUCACUCCUAUUAAGCAAGACACUAAGAAAAGGAAGCUCAGAUAUUAUCCGUAAGACAAGAUUCUGUAUUUGCAUCAUCUUGUAAUGAUCUCUUUAGAUUGAUUAGCUAAAAGACUUUUAUGUCUUCAUGGACUUUUCUAAAACAGUUAAAAGAUAAUCUCUGCAAUUUUCUAAUCAUUGAGCAUGUGACUGAGAUUGUUUACCGUAUAUGAGACUUGUACAAGAACACAAAAGAGAAGAACAAUGAAGGAAUUUGAGCUUAACUUAGGUUUCUUGCGUCGACAUCUUCUCAGCUUCUCUCAUUACAUAUUGGACAUUUUGGAGACAUGUUUUUACCAUAUAAUGUUUCUGCAGCUUUUGGUUA